GACUUCUCUUCGCAGGAUUCCCUCUCUUAGGGUUCCUCCACGGUGUUCUCCAUGCCCGGUCGAGGGCUCCAGGACUUUGGGCGGUAAUGAGUCGGCUACAGUGGGUCUGAGCCGGCGCCGCGGACGAGUCCCUUCGUUUCAGCCAGUUUGGCUCGUUUAUUGAGAAAAGUGGGGGGCGAGGGGUUAGUAUGUAAGAAAGUCUUAAAGUUUCCACAUGGUUAAGGUAAUUUUAUCAACUCUUUCUUGCACCCCUCCCCCUAGUACAGGUUUCAGACCUAAAUAACCUAGAGUUCAGGAUCCAGACUUCAAAAUAUUCACUGCUUUUUCUGUUGUUUGUGAAAAAUAAGUGUUUUCUUUGAGCCCAGAUCGUGCUAUUGCACUCCAGCCUGGGCAACAGCCAAACCCUAUCCGAAAAAAAAAAAAAAAAAAAAAGCGCUUUCUUUUUCGACGCUUCUUGCUUCCCUUCAAUAAGUUGCUUGAGGAGCAACUUUGCAGCUUCGUAAUAACACUGUAAUUCAAGUAUUUGUUCAAGAAAGGCAAGUAAGAAGUCUUGGCACGGGGGUGGGGAAUAUAGGGAAAUGUUGGUCAAAUGAUACAAAGUUUCAGUCAGAGAAGGUGGAUGAGUUCUAUAGUUAAUAAUCAUAUAUUGUGUACUUGAAAUUGUGAAGAGGGUACACCUUAAAUGUUCUCACCACAGGAAAGUAUGUGAGAUGAUGGAUUAUGUUGAUUAGCUUCAUUUAAUUAUUUGCAGUGUGUGUGUGUAUAUAUAUGUAUAUCAAAACGUCACGUUGUAUACCAUAAACAUGAACAAUUUCUAUUUGUCACUUACACCUUAAAGCUGGAGUCGGGGGAAAGAAAUCAUUUAUCAGGCAGUAUAUGCUGGAAAGGGAAAUGCCAGCAUCUCAUUUCCAGUUGUUAAUGUGAUACCACUAGUCAAGUCCUUAACCUCUCAAGGCCUGUAUCUCUCCAGUAAAGUUCAUUCUUGGUCCUAGAUUAGGUUUGUAAGUCACCAAGGCAUUUCAAAGGUGCAGGAAAUGUAAAAAUAAGCCUUUUGAGUAUUAACCAAGAUUAGUUUUCCCCACCCUUUAUUUUCUGACUUCCUUCAUGGAUUCAGUAGGAGUUUAGUUUGGUCAUCCCUGGCCAAUCAGAUGUUUAGCACUAAUAAAACUGAGGAAGAACUCCAAGUAGCAAUCCUCUGGGAUCUGUUAGAUUUCUGAGAAAAGAAUGGUAAUUUUUAGCUUUCUUGUCAGCUUUCUGACAAGCUUUUUUUUUUUUUCACCUUAUCAGUUAUUUUCUAUGGAAAAGUCUUGGUCGUAAAUUCACUACAGCUGCUCUUUAGAAGUUCUUUUAUGGCCAGGCACAGGGGCUCACGCCUGUAAUCCCAGUACUUUGGGAGGCCGAGGUGGGUGGAUCACGAGGUCAGGAGUUCAAGACCAGCCUGGCCAAGAUGGUGAAACCCUGUCUCUACUAAAAAUACAAAAAUUAGCUGGGCGUGAUGUUGGGUGCCUGUGAUCCCAGCUACUCGGAAGGCUGAGGCAGAGAGUUGCUUGAACCUGGGAGGCAGAGGUUGCGGUGAGCCAAGAUCUCACCACUGCACUCCAGCCUGAGCAACAGAGUGAGACUCCAUCUCAAAAAAAAACCAAAAAAAACGGAGUUAUUUUACUACGUAGGUACUUUAGCAUAAUAUUUCCUGAGCACCCAGGGUUCCAUGGUGCUCUGCAGACCCUAUCAAUGUCAGAGACAGUAGUGAAUUGCUUACGAAAUGUUCUUGAAUGUAGAAUCUCCUCUGGGUAAAUGUGUUUGUGCUAUAUAUAACAUAAAUGAAGGGGAGCUGCAGGUAAUUGUGGAUAGGAAGGAAAAUCUUUUCUCCCAAGAGAGUGCAUUGUAACAAUCUAGCAGCUAGCAUAAUGUGUCUUUGAAAGAAAUAAAAUGAGAAAUUAGCUAUUUAAAAGUAAUUGAAGUUAAAAUGUGUGUACGUACAAAGGAAUAUUGUUCACCCUUUAAAAAGGAAUGAAAUUCUGAUACAUGCUACAACUUGGAUUAGACUUGAAGACCUUAUGCUAGGCGAAAUCUCAAGACACAGAAAGACAAAUAUUGUAUGAUUCUACUUAUGUUCGGUACCUAGAAUAGUCAAAUUCAUAGAAACAGAAAGUAGAAUAGUGAUUAUCUAGGGCUGGAGGAAAAGGGGAAUGAGGAGUUAAUGGGUUUAAUGGGUACACCAUUUCAGUUUGGGAUGAUAAUGAAGUUCUGGAGAUGGAUUGUAGUGAUGGUUGCACAACAGUGUGAAUGUAUUUAAUGUCACUGAAUUGUACACUUAAAAAUGGUUAAAAUGGUAAGUUUUAUGUUAGGAUAUUUUACCACAACAGAAAUAAUUUUUUAAGUUAAAGGGGGGAAAAAGGAAAAUAAUGGAAAUGUGAGUUCUUUGAGGGUCAGUACUCUCUUGUUCAGCCUAGCACCUGGCAUAUGCUCUAGAUACAUUUGUUUAGUAAAUAAGUAUUUAUUUUUUUAACUUUUAUUUUAAGUCCAGGGUGUAUGUGCAGGAUGUGCAGGUUUGUUAUAUAGGUAAACGUGUGCCAUGGGGAUCUGCUGUACACACCAUUUCGUCACCCAGAAUGUGACUGGAGCUAGGACCUUUAAGGAAGUGCUCAAGUUCAAUGAGGCUGUUAGGGUGGGCCCUAAUCCAGUCCUGACUGAUGGUUUUAUAAGAAGAGGGAAUUUGGAUACACAGACACCAGGGGCAGGUGCACACAAGAGAAACGGCCACGUGAAGACACAACAAGAAGGUGGCCAUCUGCAAACCAAGGAGAGAGGUUCAGAAGAAGCCAGACCUUCUGACACGUUGAUCUUGGACUACUAGCCUCCAGAAGUGUGAGGAAAUACAUUUCUAUUGUUUAAGCCACU
rnacentral:lncRNA from 1 species